UUCAGUACGACAUUGCUCACAUUGCUUCCAGUAUUUCUUGCCCACUUUAUGUGGGCUUUUUUUU
rfam:Leclercia adecarboxylata strain I1 Leclercia_S84_R1__paired__contig_7, whole genome shotgun sequence.